GUAGCGCCACCGCAACAGAUCUUCUCCUCCUCCCUUUGGACCUUUUGCCUCAUCUGGAAAGGGGCCAGUUAGCCAGGCCCGGUGAGACCUCAUGGCCGAGACGACACCAGUGCCUGCUGCCCCAUUUCCGGGGGAGAGGCUGGGAGAGGCAGGAGCCCGGAAGGCGUCCCCCUCUCCUUGCCGGGCCUCAGUUUUCCUCAUCUGUGUUAGCUGGCCCCGGUCUCCAUGUUCCUUUUGGCUCUGAGAGUCUCUGGCUGUUGGUGGUCGGUCGGAAGAGCCAAUAGCCCGUGCCCCCAAACAAAGCCGGCCGCCCGUGGGGCUCGGGUCCCUUCCGGCGUGUCUCCCCUCUCGUGAGCCGGAGGAAUCCCGGACCGCUUCGGAGGGCUGGACUCACAGCUGGGCUGGACCCGGGGCUCUGUCACCUCAAUCUCCGUCCUCCCUCUCCCACCCCACCCCCUCCAUCCGCUCAGCCGGCCGUGCUCCCACACACAGGAACUUCCACCCCGUUCCUCUGGCCAGCCCCCCACCAACCAAACAACCCUACUUGGAAGACCUGAGUGAAGGCCUCCCUUCCCUGAAUGCUCAGAACGUGGAUGUCACCCGUGAACCCGAAGAAGCCCUGGAUACAGUGCCAGCUCACUACUAAGCACCUUGGGACAGGCCACAGAGCCGCUUCCUCCUACUCCCACGGCUAGAGGCUGGCCUACCCACCCGCAGAGGGAUCCGCCCCCACCCCCAUUCACCUUUCGGUCUCACAGCUGACCGGACCAAAGCUUCGCCCCUGUCUAGCGUUUCCGUUUUGGAAACUGAGGAAGAGAAGAGGGGAUGGGAGGCAGAGAACGAUAGUGAGGUGGGGCAGAGUUAGCUAGCGAUGCCCCUCCCAAGCAGGCCCCUGCCGAUGCUCCGUGGCAGCUGGCCCCCAGGAUGCCCGGGCACACAGCUGGGCCUUUCUGAGGUAAGGAGCAUCUCCAAGCACCCCCAAUGAUUCACGGGCCCAAACCAAAGCACUUGAGUCUCCCUGCUUUGUGGACUCAGCCUUCAAAACAAUAAAACUAUUGAGGGCUCCAAGUCUGGGG
rnacentral:lncRNA from 1 species